UUAGAUGUCCGGGGCCGCACGUGCGCUACAAUGACGGUUUCAGCGAGUUUGGGAUCCUGGCCUGAGCAGGUUGGGUAAACUGAACCAUAACCGUCGUGACUGGGAUCGGGGCUUGCAAUUGUUCCCCGUGAACGAGGAAUUCCUGGUAAGUGCAAGUCAUAAGCUUGCGCUGAUUACGUCCCUGCCCUUUGUACACACCGCCCGUCGCUACUACCGAUUGAAUGGUUUAGCAAGGUCCUCGGAUUGGUACCAUUGUAGUGGCUUUUGCCGCUCGACCGGUGCUGAGAAGACGACCAAACUUGAUCAUUUAGAGGAAGUAAAAGUCGUAACAAGGUUUCCGUAGGUGAACCUGCGGAAGGAUCAUUACCGAAACCCUAUUCUUGCACAAAUUGGAGUAUCACGGUGAUCGUCAUGUCACCCAAUUUUGUAUAAUCUAGGCUAUGCCUGGCUCUUGUCAGUCACAGCAUAGUCGAUUCUCCGGCGGGGUGCCUACCUGUAUGAUCCUCUGAUGGUAUGCUUGCAGCCUUCGGGCUGCCUGUUCAAGCCAAGAGAACAGGCUGUGCUGCCGUAACAGGUAGUGCUAGGCUUAAAGAGAAGAUUUGGGCUAUGGCCCUGCUUCCGCCCUGUACGUGGUUCUCAUACUAUCUCACACUGUUCAAGUGGUUGUGUUUGGCUUGCCAAGCAUAGCCAUUGCCCUCCCAUGCACCCGGUCCUUGUGGCUGGACUGCACGGACGUCGCCCGGCGGUGCCUAUCCCGGGUAGGACUGAUAACGUGGUUUCUGGUCAUCUGGUUCGCCUGUUGAUUGGAGCCAUGCGUACAACUCUGAGCGGUGGAUCACUCGGCUCGUGUGUCGAUGAAGAGCGCAGCCAACUGUGUGAAUUAAUGUAAACUGCAUACUGCUUUGAACAUCGACAUCUUGAACGCAUAUUGCGGCCAUGGGUUAGCCUGUGGCCACGCCUGUCCGAGGGUCGGCUUAUAAACUAUCACGACGCCCAAAAAGUCGUGGCUUGGGUUUUGCCAGCUGGCAUGAUUUCCUCCGUGAGAGAUCACGCGAGGCGUCAGAUCUAUGGCGUUUCCCUAAUGUAUCCGGACGCAUCCUUUUGUUGGCUGCGAGCCAUGGUAGGAUGAGGUGACGGAAUCGUGGCUUAGUUUAGCUAUGCCCCGUUUUCAGCAUGUUUGGCGCUAAUUCAGUCGGCGUGCUCAUGACUACGGGUGGAGCUAAUAUUGGGUUGGUGCUCCGUUUUCAGUGUACUUGGCGUCAGUCGGUAUGCGCAUGAUCUCGGAGGUAAUUCCAUACCAGGCGCGUUUCGUUACUGCCAUUCUGCUUUGGUUUAACGUCACGGGGGGCAAUGCAUCUGAUGCUUUGCAUCUCACUUGGUGAGGCGCACAUAGAGACGUAACUAUGGCUUGUGGAUGAGCGGUGGAUUAUUGUUGGGUUGGUGCUCAGUUGUCCUCAUGACUUCGGGGGUAAUUCCAUACCGGGCCCGCUGUACCACAUACCCACAGCAAUGCGCUUCUGUGUUGUGUACUUGUCAGGCGUUAUGCAGUACUUUGUGAGACGUAUGCACCGUGGUGUACCUAUGGCUUGUGGUUUGAACGGUGGAUUAUUUAUUGGGUUGGUACUCAGUUGUCCAUGCGACUUCGGGGGUAAUUCCAUACCGGGCCCGUUCUGCCACAUACCCACAGCAAUGCGCCGGUGUAAUUGUCUUUACCUGACCUCGGAUCAGACGUGAUUACCCGCUGAACUUAAGCAUAUCACUAAGCGGAGGAGAAGAAACUAACCAGGAUUCCCUUAGUAACGGCGAGUGAAGAGGGAAAAGCCCAGCACCGAAGCCUGUGGUCAUUUGACCCCUAGGCAAUGUGGUGUUCAGGUCAGCCCGCGGAGAUACUGCUCCACCCUAAGUCCUAUAAUGAGUAAGGUUACUCGGACGUGGCCCAAUGAGGGUGAAAGGCCCGUGGGGGUGGAGACUCAGA
rnacentral:rRNA from 1 species